ACAGGUGGUGCAUGGCUGUCGUCAGCUCGUGUCGUGAGAUGUUGGGUUAAGUCCCGCAACGAGCGCAACCCCCGCCGCAUGUUGCCAUCGGGUAGUGCCGGGCACCCAUGCGGGACCGCCGGCGUCAAGCCGGAGGAGGGCGGGGACGACGUCAAGUCAUCAUGCCCCUUAUGCCCUGGGCUGCACACGUGCUACAAUGGCCGGUACAACGGGAGGCGAGCGCGCGAGCGCGAGCGGAUCCCUCAAAGCCGGCCCCAGUUCGGAUUGGGGGCUGCAACCCGCCCCCAUGAAGUCGGAGUUGCUAGUAAUCGCGGAUCAGCAUGCCGCGGUGAAUGCGUUCCCGGGCCUUGUACACACCGCCCGUCACACCACCCGAGUCGUCUGCACCCGAAGCCGCCGGCCCAACCUUCCAGGGGGGAGGCGUCGAAGGUGUGGAGGGUGAGGGGGGUGAAGUCGUAACAAGGUAGCCGUACGGGAACGUGCGGCUGGAUCACCUCCUUU
rnacentral:rRNA from 1 species